rnacentral:rRNA from 1 species
GAUGAACGCUGGCGGCGUGCCUAAUACAUGCAAGUCGAGCGAACAGAUGAGGAGCUUGCUCCUCUGACGUUAGCGGCGGACGGGUGAGUAACAUGUGGAUAACCUACCUAUAAGACUGGGAUAACUUCGGGAAACCGGAGCUAAUACCGGAUAAUAUAUUGAACCGCAUGGUUCAAUAGUGAAAGACGGUUUUGCUGUCACUUAUAGAUGGAUCCGCGCCGCAUUAGCUAGUUGGUAAGGUAACGGCUUACCAAGGCAACGAUGCGUAGCCGACCUGAGAGGGUGAUCGGCCACACUGGAACUGAGACACGGUCCAGACUCCUACGGGAGGCAGCAGUAGGGAAUCUUCCGCAAUGGGCGAAAGCCUGACGGAGCAACGCCCGUGAGUGAUGAAGGUCUUCGGAUCGUAAAACUCUGUUAUUAGGGAAGAACAAAUGUGUAAGUAACUAUGCACGUCUUGACGGUACCUAAUCAGAAAGCCACGGCUAACUACGUG